rnacentral:rRNA from 1 species
GAUGAACGCUGGCGGCGUGCCUAAUACAUGCAAGUCGAGCGAACGGACGAUAAGCUUGCUUCUCUGAUGUUAGCGGCGGACGGGUGAGUAACACGUGGAUAACCUACCUAUAAGACUGGGAUAACUUCGGGAAACCGGAGCUAAUACCGGAUAAUAUUUUGAACCGCAUGGUUCAAAAGUGAAAGACGGUCUUGCUGUCACUUAUAGAUGGAUCCGCGCUGCAUUAGCUAGUUGGUAAGGUAACGGCUUACCAAGGCAACGAUGCAUAGCCGACCUGAGAGGGUGAUCGGCCACACUGGAACUGAGACACGGUCCAGACUCCUACGGGAGGCAGCAGUAGGGAAUCUUGCGCAAUGGGCGAAAGCCUGACGGAGCAACGCCGCGUGAGUGAUGAAGGUCUUCGGAUCGUAAAACUCUGUUAUUAGGGAAGAACAUAUGUGUAAGAAACUGUGCACAUCUUGACGGUACCUAAUCAGAAAGCCACGGCUAACUACGUG